GACGAACGCUGGCGGCGUGCCUAACACAUGCAAGUGGAGCGACGGACCAGGCUUCGGCCUGGGGCCAAGCCGCGAACGGGUNAGUAACACGUGGGCAACCUGCCCCGAUGACCGGGACAACCCGAGGAAACUCGGGCUAAUACCGGAUGUGCUCGGCUCACACAAGUGAGCUGCGUAAAGGAAGCUUCGGCCUCCGCUUCGGGAUGGGCCCGCGGCCCAUUAGCUUGUUGGUGAGGUAACGGCUCACCAAGGCUGCGAUGGGUAGCUGGUCUGAGAGGACGAUCAGCCACACUGGGACUGAGGACACGGCCCAGACUCCUACGGGAAGGCAGCAGUGGGGAAUCUUGCGCAAUGCGCGAAAGACGUGACGC
rnacentral:rRNA from 1 species